AUUUUGUUGACUAAUACUCGGGCACGUUCUGCACGUUUCAGGUUCUUGUGUGCACCUCUGCUGACUGAGUACCGGUUCUCGUCCUAAAAGACAUGUUUGAUUAGUAAAAGUGAAGUCUAUGUGUGUACUUAUAAAGGGUUAGGCUUCCUGGAUCUGAUACUUCUGCUGAUGAAAGUGAUAAUAAGCCAGUAACAUGGGAAAACGAUUGACGAUCUUUGUAGGGUGUGUCCAUGAGAUCCCACAAGUUUGUCAAUGCUUUGCCAAGAUGGUGAAGCUGAAAAUGUAUAUGCAGAAAUAAUCAUACUGAUGCCUUAUGUAACCAAAAUUUUCUGAAUUUGCCCUUGUACUGCUCGGAACUUAUUCACCCUAUCUUCUUUCCUCAAUCUCAUCUCCCUCAAUGCCGGCGUGAGUGAAUCCAACUGUUCUUUCAGUGUUCCCACCAUUUUUUCUGGCUGAUGAGAUGAUAAAAAAAUCAGCCCAAGAAAGGAUUGAUGGAUAAUGUACCCGUCCAGGGAGAGACCGUUCGCCAAGGGACAGAAGAAGAUGGGUAAAUUCAGCCUCCGCUUCAGCCAACUCCUGGUGCAGUCGAGCUCUCGAGGUAUUCGCAGUAUCAACCUUCUUCCUA